UUCAUACAUACAUACAUACAUACAUACAUACAUACAUACAUACAUACAUACAUACAUACAUCACAUGUGCUUAAUUAUAGCUUUUUGUGAUCAUUUUCUAAGCCCAUUAAUCUCUCAAAAGCCCGGUUUUGAAUCACUUAUGGGUUCGGGAGCUCAUACUUGGGUCGUAUCCACAUUCAUACAAAUAUACAAUAGCGAGUAAAUAAAAUAAAAUGGGAUGAGGCUAUGGAGACUUCAAAUAAAAACGACAAUCAUGGGUUGUUUGUCUCGCUCGAUUUCGCCCUCUGAUUAAUGUUUCGGAGAAUCUUGAAUCUCGCUCGCGAGGAAUUUGUGUUUCAGUGUCGUUGGCUACGGUGAUUUUCCGAACAAGGGCACAUUCAGUCUCUGUAAUUCAAAUUGAGUUCUGAGUUUCCGGGUUUAGGGUUUCCGUUCGUUUCGUUGCCACACCAACGAAAGUUUCAAAUUCUGGUGAUUGGGUCUCUUCUUUUUCUCUCCUUUUGAUGUUUGAACAUAUAAUUCUCGAAUCUGUUUCUUUGCAAUUAUGCUAUUCUUAUUGGUUAAGGUAUUGGAAAAGCUAAGCUUAUUACAUCGCGGUUGUAAUGAUUUUCAGUAGUUUCAGUACUUUCUAGACAGAUGCCGGAACGUGGAAAAUUUUGAGUGAUCGAAAUAAUGCCUUGUGUUAGAUUGUAGGGUCUUGAGAAUCUGAUGCUUGAGUACGAGAAUGGCACCGAUCUGGGAAUUUGGAAACAUGGAAGAGAGAUCUAUGUUGCCAUUCUUGAAGCUGAAUUUAGCUGAGUACUUCUAAGCAUUAGCUUAUAAUUAGAAGAUUCAAGAUUUACGUCGGGGUUAAUGUCUGUGUAGUAAUGUUUCCCUGUCUGUACAUGUAAGUUUAUUGUAUCGUGAUCACUUUAUAUUGCUAGACCCAUAUGUAGGAUGACUUGAAAACAAAUCUGAAGUGCUUGCAGCUGUUUAAUAUCCAUACAUGACAGGUAUCUUUUCUUCUCUCCUCUCACACGAUCUUACCGUGUCGGGAUUGCAUGUUUAGUGUUAUAUGAUUCAUCCAUCUCUAAUAUUUUCUGGAUGUUGUUUCUUUUGGUUUACAUAUGGAAAAGAUCAAAAGCGUUUGAUAGAAACAGUUAACAUCACAAUGUGAAAGCUGCCCCUUUGGUAAUUUUGCGUGUAGCGCUCGAACUCUGGACCCUGAAUAAGCUCACAAUGGAAACCUCUAGACUCCGAGUCUGAGCUUCUGAAAUUAACACCACUGUUUUUAUGUUAAGGUUUGGAUGGGUUAGUUUGGGUGGAAUCAAUGCUCAUUAACAAUAUCGAUUGAGUGGGGGCCUGUUGGAGCACAUCCCUGUUGUUGAUAUGUUUUUGGAGAGUGUGUAUCAAUUCUCUUCUUGUUUAGUCCCUUAUGGUGUUGUUAUAUGGGUUAGAAGUUGAGCAUGAUGAGUAAUUCUGUUUGCUGUUCUUGGCGUAUACUUCUUUCAGUUUUUCCUUUGCCACUUCGAAGUUUCUCUCUGCGUUAUCUUUUUGGCAACCUUUUGGAAGAGAUGCAGCACUUAGCUUUGUUUUUCUAAGGUUUGCCGAUGAAAGAAGUAGCCGUUACAAUUGACUGUAUGAGUUGGGAAGCAUGAUCAAGCGUGUUGUGGAGCACUUACGGUUGGAGUUGCCAGAAUUUGAUCUUGUGGGAUUGUUCAUGCCAGUGGUGAGGAAUGUAAGGUUAACUCGCAGAUGGUAUCAAGAUCGUGCCUUUUUGGUCAUUGCCCUGCUCGCGUCGCAAAUCAUUCUCUAAGUUGAUCGUUCUUACGGCGUUCGUGAGCCGCUUUUUUCGUGAGGACGACAGCCUCGGAUCAUUUCCUGGAACUGCUUCAUCCCAAGUGAAGCCAUGGACCAGCUCCACUUACUUUCUGGUCGAGGCUUUUGCCAAUGGCAGGCAAAAGUUGAGUGUAUGAAAACCGGAGGCGAUUCUCUUGCGGAACAAAAAGAUAUCAAUGCCAUUAGUUUGUUGGUUUCCGUUCGAUUUAUAUAUAUUUUUUUAUUAAUAAGACGUAAGAGAUUUUCAUUUUUUUUUGUUCCGUAUUAAAAAUUAUAUCCUAUCUGUUGAACUUGAUUUUGCAUAA